UUUAUACCCGCACUCAAAAUAGAAAAGAAACUAAGGAUGAAGCGGGAUGCUUAGAUAUGAUUGACAUAAGGCAGAAGGAGAUGGGGGUGGGCUUUACUGCGAACGUAUAAUACAGAUACGAAUCAGCAGAACCUAAUAUGCAAAUUCCGAUAGUGGGUUAAUUUGAUUCUCGUGCGAUUCGUCAGCCUGCAUAGUUCGGUGUGAUUAGUCUGCUAAAGACAAGCAAAAGAUUUUAGAAACCAUUUUGUAAAAUCUUAAAGCUAUCUAAAAAAUUGUAUAACUUAGUUAAAGUAGUUAAAAACAAACGAAAGUUUUUCCAGAUAUAAGUUUUGCUAAAGAUUAGCUUUUGUGCACCACCUUAACAGGUGAUAAAAGUUCCUGUUUCUGUAAGGUGAAUCCCGCUGGUCAUCGCGGGUGCUUGUGUGGGGUCGAUUUGGCGGUGAACAAUUUGGUCCGGAGUCACCCUAGUUGGACCGAGUCACCCUAGUGCCGCAUCGCCUAUCACCUUAAAAGCUUCCUCUCUCGUAUACCCUACGCUACACGACUCGCUACGUGAAAGCUCCUGCAA